rnacentral:rRNA from 1 species
GACGAACGCUGGCGGCGUGCUUAACACAUGCAAGUCGAACGGAAAGGCCCUGCUUUUGUGGGGUGCUCGAGUGGCGAACGGGUGAGUAACACGUGAGUAACCUGCCCUUGACUUUGGGAUAACUUCAGGAAACUGGGGCUAAUACCGGAUAGGAGCUCCUGCUGCAUGGUGGGGGUUGGAAAGUUUCGGCGGUUGGGGAUGGACUCGCGGCUUAUCAGCUUGUUGGUGGGGUAGUGGCUUACCAAGGCUUUGACGGGUAGCCGGCCUGAGAGGGUGACCGGCCACAUUGGGACAGAGAUACGGCCCAGACUCCUACGGGAGGCAGGAGUGGGGAAUAGUGCACAAUGGGCGGAAGCCUGAUGCAGCAACGCCGCGUGCGGGAUGACAGCCUUCGGGUUGUAAACCGCUUUCGCCUGUGACGAAGCGUGAGUGACGGUAAUGGGUAAAGAAGCACCGGCUAACUACGUG